UACGUAGGUCCCGAGCGUUGUCCGGAUUUAUUGGGCGUAAAGCGAGCGCAGGUGGUUUAUUAAGUUUGGUGUAAAAGGCAGUGGCUCAACCAUUGUAUGCAUUGGAAACUGGUAGACUUGAGUGCAGGAGAGGAGAGUGGAAUUCCAUGUGUAGCGGUGAAAUGCGUAGAUAUGGAGGAACACCGGUGGCGAAAGCGGCUCUCUGGCCUGUAACUGACACUGAGGCUCGAAAGCGUGGGGAGCAAACAGG
rnacentral:rRNA from 1 species